rnacentral:lncRNA from 1 species
ACAAUUUGUUAUAUGCCGUAGAUGGUUUCUUUUUCAUUUUUGCAUCCGAAACAUCCUUUUACCGAACGGACUUCUUUCAACAUGAAAGUGUAAAGAGAGAGUUUCCUCCUAUCGACCAGUUAGUUACUCGAAAACUUCGAAAGCUCAACACACUUCAUUUCAAUGCAGCAGCAGCGCAAAUGUGCUCAAAGAAAAGUUAUGUAAAUUGAUGUCAAAUAAGGCUUUAUUACAGCAAGCCGACAUUAUAAUUGAAAGAGAUGGGAAUAUAAUUAGGAUUACAGAUAGAAUUAAUGAGAUAAUGCACCCGAUCAGUUGUAAGUUACCGAUCGUAAGCGUCUUAAUCCUAACUAUACUUCCAUUUUUAACUUGUGAUAUCGACCUUAUCGUCAAUUUUUUCACUUGUGUUGUUACGUGCAACGACUUUCAUUUUUUUUUUUUUUUUUUUUUGAAACUGAAGCAGGC